rnacentral:rRNA from 1 species
UACGGGGGAAAGCCCGGGGACCUUCGGGCCUGGCGCGAUUGGAUGAGCCCACGUCGGAUUAGCUAGUUGGCGGGUAAAGGCCCACAAGGCGACGAUCCGUAGCUGGUCUGAGAGGAUGAUCAGCCACACUGGAACUGAGACACGGUCCAGACUCCUACGGGAGGCAGCAGUAGGGAAUAUUGGACAAUGGGCGCAAGCCUGAUCCAGCCAUGCCGCGUGAGUGAAGAAGGCCCUCGGGUUGUAAAGCUCUUUUGUCCGGAAAGAAAAGCGCCGGGUUAAUACCCUGGUGUCCUGACGGUACCGGAAGAAUAAGCACCGGCUAACUUCGUG